rnacentral:rRNA from 1 species
AUGAAGAUUGUGAAAGCAAAUGCAGGACAUCUCACCAACUUCGAAGUUCUCGACUUCUUACGGAAAAGAGGUGCAAAAACUGAUCCCAUGGGAUGUUUGGGGGCCGUUGCUGCAUCAGAGUGUAAGGUAUACGAGUACCUCCUGAAAACUCCUGCUUGCAAUCAGACAAGGGAAUCAGUUACUGAAUUUGCAAACAGAUGUGAGGGUUUCAAGCUUACCGAUGCUGACAAGCAAAACAUUAUCAAUUGGAGGCCAACCUCAGCAGCUGAUGUUUAUGCGAUGGUAGAGGAGUGUGGGAAGAGAUUUUGCAAGGACGAGCGAGGAGUGCCGCAGGAUGAAGAUGACCGUGCCGACGAACUUGUGGCUCUUGUAAAUGAGAUUUUUCCAGCACCACCUGCAAAGCCAGAGGAUGAGGUGGAUAUGAAGCCAGAGGAUGAAGUGGAUGCGAAGCCAGAGGAUGAAGUGGAUGUGGAUAUGAAGGACAGCUGA